AGUGAACGCUGGCGGUAGGCCUAACACAUGCAAGUCGAACGGCAGCACAGUAAGAGCUUGCUCUUACGGGUGGCGAGUGGCGGACGGAUGAGGAAUACAUCGGAAUCUACUUUUUCGUGGGGGAUAACGUAGGGAAACUUACGCUAAUACCGCAUACGACCUACGGGUGAAAGCAGGGGAUCUUCGGACCUUGCGCGAUUGAAUGAGCCGAUGUCGGAUUAGCUAGUUGGCGGGGUAAAGGCCCACCAAGGCGACGAUCCGUAGCUGGUCUGAGAGGAUGAUCAGCCACACUGGAACUGAGACACGGUCCAGACUCCUACGGGAGGCAGCAGUGGGGAAUAUUGGACAAUGGGCGCAAGCCUGAUCCAGCCAUACCGCGUGGGUGAAGAAGGCCUUCGGGUUGUAAAGCCCUUUUGUUGGGAAAGAAAAGCAGCAGGUUAAUACCCCGCCGUUCUGACGGUACCCAAAGAAUAAGCACCGGCUAACUUCGUG
rnacentral:rRNA from 1 species